rnacentral:rRNA from 1 species
GUGGCGAACGGGUGAGUAACACGUGAGUAACCUGCCCCUGACUCUGGGAUAAGCCUGGGAAACUGGGUCUAAUACCGGAUAUGCACCGUGGACCGCAUGGUUUUUGGUGGAAAGAUUUUUUGGUCAGGGAUGGACUCGCGGCCUAUCAGCUUGUUGGUGAGGUAAUGGCUCACCAAGGCGACGACGGGUAGCCGGCCUGAGAGGGUGACCGGCCACACUGGGACUGAGACACGGCCCAGACUCCUACGGGAGGCAGCAGUGGGGAAUAUUGCACAAUGGGCGAAAGCCUGAUGCAGCGACGCCGCGUGAGGGAUGACGGCCUUCGGGUUGUAAACCUCUUUCAGUAGGGAAGAAGCGAAAGUGACGGUACCUGCAGAAGAAGCGCCGGCUAACUACGUGCCAGCAGCCGCGGUAAUACGUAGGGCGCAAGCGUUAUCCGGAAUUAUUGGGCGUAAAGAGCUCGUAGGCGGUUUGUCGCGUCUAUCGUGAAAGUCCGAGGCUCAACCUCGGAUCUGCGGUGGGUACGGGCAGACUAGAGUGAUGUAGGGGAGACUGGAAUUCCUGGUGUAGCGGUGAAAU